UGCCACCACAGAAGGGCCAGGAAGUCACCAUCGUCUGCAGAAGGGGCGGUGGCUGCCUCUACAAGCUUGCUUGGUGGCAGCGCUCUCUGCACCAGACAAGCUUGCUUUUCUGAAUCACGGCCCCAACGCAUCUGAUAUUGCUUCUUCUCUUGCAGUGUUUGGCAGAACUGUUGCUGAAACUGAGACCUGUUGGCCAGAAGGUAUCCUGGAGGCCACCCGUGGCAGGGCACAGCCUCCUGGGAGGAAAAAAUGCUUUACAGAGAAAAGCAACAGUAUUCGAAGACGUAAUUAGCAGGUGACUCCUGGGCCAAGAAUGAGCACACUGCGGGGGAAACAUGGAGACCUCAGUGCCAAGCUCCAGUAUCAUGUGUGAAGCUAAUUUCCGAAGCACAUUCGAUUUCAAACAAGGCCAACGCUCGUUACCACCACACAGAGGCUCUACCCUUUGUGCACAGCCUUGGGUCAUGCAGGGCUCUGGGGUUCACCUGCAGGAGGCAAUUAUGAUGGUUCGUGCCCAACUGUCAACCUGACAAAACCUGGGAUCGCCGGGGAGAAGGGCCACGGCACAUGUCUUUGGGGAAUUAUCUCGAUUGUGUUGAUUGAGGCGGGAAGACCCACCCUCACAGAAGAUCUUCAGCUGUCUGAAGAAGAGAGAGCUUGGGCCGAGCGCUAAGCAGUUCCACCUCAAAAGAACUUUCUGGAGGGGCCGAGGGAGCCCCGCGCUGGCUCCGGUUUGCAAGUGUCAACCAGAAAAGCACAAAGUUGACAAGUUAUCUGGACGCCUCCCCGGCUGUGACUGCUGAGGCUUCUGAUAACCCCAGGAUUCCCAAGGACCCCUGGAAUUCUUUCUUGUCAGGAAAACACACCCCUCCGUGCUCUGGAGGACCUAGGGGCCUGAUGUUUCUGGACCGGUACCAAGCACACUCAGGUUCACAUUCAGGUUCAAGAUUGAGCUCAUUCUCAAAGCCAGAGAAGAUAAAAGAACGGGAGAAAUAUUCCAAAUGGGCAGCUGUGUCUUGGCUUAUCUUUAUUUAUUUUAAAAAGACUUAUCUUGGAUACCGGAGCUUAAAAUUUUCAAGUCUGCUGUGAGGCUCUGGCUUGGACUCUGGUGUGCAAAGAACACAUGCUGGGAGGCUGUAGUACCAGGGAGGGAGGUCAUCUUAUGGGGUGUGAGGGAGCCGUGACUGUGGGACUCCCGAGACCUUCAUCAUCUGUGACCGGGAUGCUGUGUGACUGGAGGGCCGCUGUCAAGAAGGCUGAGCUUAAAAACAGACGGGGACAUCGAAAUGACAGUGUCAAACACUGGGAAAAGAAGCCUGUUGUCAGGAAGCACGGGCUGGCACAGUCACGCCUUCACUUUCUUCUGUCUGUUCCCUGGACACCACUCAGUCCUUUACUCGAUAGGUACGGGGGGACCCCCAGUGCCCACUGGGUCUGACUAUCCAUUUCAACUUCUGAAUUUAGAGUUAAAUUCAUAAUGUGUUUGCU